ACUUCUUCAAUCUUCACUACGAUAACACAUUUGGUUCUGUUUCCACUUUCCAACAUUCGCUUUGUUAUCUUCUCCGAGGAGGGAAGUCUAAAUGUGGUGCCUACCAACUGUUCGACCUAAUGUCUCAGAGAUGUUCAAGUGUUCUUCUUCUCUCCGUCGUUUUCAUUCUCCGAUGCUCAAACAAGCCACAGCUGCAAGAUUCUCCACCACUUCUUCAUCUCCUUAUCUUCCUCCUUUAUUCAGCGUCGCACCGAUGAUGGAGUGGACAGACAAUCAUUACAGGACGCUUGCUCGCAUCAUAACAAAACAUGCUUGGCUUUACACUGAGAUGAUUGCUGCUCAAACUCUUAUUCACCAGCAGACCAAUUUGACAGGUCUCCUUCUUGUGUUGCAUCAGGACAGGUUCUUGGCGUUUUCUCCGCAGCAACAUCCUAUUGUUCUUCAGCUUGGAGGGAGCAAUGUGGAGAGCCUUGCAAAAGCUGCUAAGCUUUCUCAUCCUUACGGAUACGAUGAAAUUAAUCUCAACUGUGGAUGCCCUAGCCCUAAGGUAGCUGGACAUGGAUGCUUUGGUGUUACCCUCAUGCUCAACCCCAAGCUUGUUGGAGAGGCAAUGUCUGCCAUUGCUGAUAAUACCAACGUCCCUGUUACUGUGAAAUGUCGAAUUGGUGUAGACGAUCAUGAUUCCUAUGAUGAGCUCUGUGACUUUGUUUACAAGGUUUCUACUCUGUCACCAACUAGGCAUUUCAUUGUUCAUUCGCGCAAGGCACUUCUUGGUGGAAUAAGCCCUGCUGAUAACCGGAGAAUCCCUCCUCUAAAUUUAGGUACGAGUACUACUAUGCCCUUGCGCGUGACUUUCCAGACUUGAAAUUCACAAUUAAUGGCGGCAUUACUUCUGUAUCGAAGGUAAACGCUGCACUGGAGAAAGGAGCUCACGGAGUCAUGGUAGGCCGCGCUGCAUAUAACAACCCCUAGCAGACCCUGGGACUUGUUGACACUGCAGUUUAUGGUGUUCCAAGUAGUGGCCUAACACGCAGACAGGUUCCAUGGAAUAUUUUUGAGCUUUUAAGUUGCUUUGUCUCCCAAAUUUUCUGUUCAAAGAAAAGUCUGAUGUCUCUGAGUGUUGGGCCAGGUUCUUGAGAAAUAUCAAGUCCCAAAUUUUGCUUCCUUUAUAUCUGAACCAUUCCUCCAUAGUUAAAAGUUUAACUAUGUUCUUGAUUUUUGUAGUUUUGUAUAAUAAUCAUAAAUAUUAUGAAAAUACUUUUAACUUUAAA